UAGGGAAUCUUCCGCAAUGGACGCAAGUCUGACGGAGCAACGCCGCGUGAGUGAAGAAGGAUUUCGGUUCGUAAAACUCUGUUGUUAGAGAAGAACAGCGCAUAGAGUAACUGUUAUGCGUGUGACGGUAUCUAACCAGAAAGCCACGGCUAACUACGUGCCAGCAGCCGCGGUAAUACGUAGGUCCCGAGCGUUGUCCGGAUUUAUUGGGCGUAAAGCGAGCGCAGGCGGUUAGAAAAGUCUGAAGUGAAAGGCAGUGGCUCAACCAUUGUAGGCUUUGGAAACUGUUUAACUUGAGUGCAGAAGAGGAGAGUGGAAUUCCAUGUGUAGCGGUGAAAUGCGUAGAUAUAUGGAGGAACACCAGUGGCGAAGGCGACUCUCUGGUCUGUAACUGACGCUGAGGCUCGAAAGCGUGGGUAGCAAACAGG
rnacentral:rRNA from 1 species